AUUGAACGCUGGCGGCAGGCCUAACACAUGCAAGUCGAACGGCAACAGGAAGCAGCUUGCUGCUUUGCUGACGAGUGGCGGACGGGUGAGUAAUGUCUGGGAAACUGCCUGAUGGAGGGGGAUAACUACUGGAAACGGUAGCUAAUACCGCAUAACGUCGCAAGACCAAAGAGGGGGACCUUCGGGCCUCUUGCCAUCGGAUGUGCCCAGAUGGGAUUAGCUAGUAGGUGGGGUAACGGCUCACCUAGGCGACGAUCCCUAGCUGGUCUGAGAGGAUGACCAGCCACACUGGAACUGAGACACGGUCCAGACUCCUACGGGAGGCAGCAGUGGGGAAUAUUGCACAAUGGGCGCAAGCCUGAUGCAGCCAUGCCGCGUGUAUGAAGAAGGCCUUCGGGUUGUAAAGUACUUUCAGCGGGGAGGAAGGGAGUAAAGUUAAUACCUUUGCUCAUUGACGUUACCCGCAGAAGAAGCACCGGCUAACUCCGUG
rnacentral:rRNA from 1 species